GUGAGGAAUAUUGCGCAAUGGAGGCAACUCUGACGCAGCCAUGCCGCGUGCAGGAAGAAGGCGCUACGCGUUGUAAACUGCUUUUAACCGGGAAGAAACCCCAGGACGUGUCCUGGGUUGACGGUACCGGAGGAAUAAGCACCGGCUAACUUCGUGCCAGCAGCCGCGGUAAUACGAAGGGUGCAAGCGUUAUCCGGAUUCAUUGGGUUUAAAGGGUGCGUAGGCGGAGCGUUAAGUCAGUGGUGAAAUCCUGCAGCUUAACUGUAGACUGGCCAUUGAUACUGGCGCUCUUGAGUGCGCUUGAAGUGGGCGGAAUGUGCCGUGUAGCGGUGAAAUGCUUAGAUAUGGCACAGAACACCAAUUGCGAAGGCAGCUCACUAAGGCGAUACUGACGCUGAGGCACGAAAGCGUGGGGAUCGAACAGGAUUAGAAACCCGGGUGUCC
rnacentral:rRNA from 1 species